CAAGCAGCGAAGCCCGGGCCGGCAGACUACAGCGUAGGCCGGGUGACGCUGAUCAAGCCCCAGGCGCCUGCAUCCACUUUUGGAAUCCGGCAUUCCCUCUACACAACCCCUCUGAUUGUGGAAUAAAACAGCCAAGUCUGGAAGGCCGCCUUUGCUUGCCUGGGACAGGAGGGGACGGGAAGACACCAAUCAACUGCCGGUUUCCACUUGAUUACAUUUCCAUCUAUCGACUUGGGCUUUUGCCCAUUUUACUCCUGAAUGUUAGCAAUUGGAGUAAGUCAUCAAUAAAAUCAACUCAACACCUA